GGUAGGAAUGGGUAAUUAUAGCGAGCUAGAAAGCGUUUCCGUC
rnacentral:misc_RNA from 1 species